CAUUACCACUGAUACAGGGACUGGGAGGGGUCAGGUGCCAGUACUCUUGAGUUAGCUCACAAGUUAACAGAAGAAACCCCAUCUGAGGAGGGGAAGAGAAGGACCUCCAGGACUGUAACGUUACGUUAAGUUAGACACAAACUGGAUGCUACGGUGCUGCAGUUUCAAGCCAGCAGGUUUAGUUCCAUGCCAUGCAAAUGGACAUUCUCCUUGUAGGAAGAAAUAUGUGCCUGAGGGACUGUAGCCAAGGAUCAGGUCAUGCUGCUCUACUGUGAGAAUUUGGAGUUGAGGCUUUCUACAUGUAAACCAGAUGUCUCUGCUUUCCAUCUCAACUCAGGCUACUGAGACCCUGACCUUGCUCCUGAUUUCUGGAAGCGCAGCACAUGGUUGAGGAUUGAUGAGGCUAGCCUGUGGGGAUUCUUGGAAGCCGGUUGCAUCCUUUUAGUAGUAAUUCUUGUGGCCCUUGA